CAGUAGCGUAUAUUAAAGCUGUUGCGGUUAAAAAGCUCGUAGUUGGAUAUCAGUGCGUGUCCGGUCCGGUAUGCCCGGCGGCGGCGCUCGCGCGUCACUGCCGGGCUCCCAAAUAUCGGCUGGCCGCAUUCAAUCGUGCCGGAUCCGUCGACGGGCCGUUCUACGGAGGGGCCUGUUGGCGACCGGCGACGUUACCUUGAACAAAUUAGAGUGCUCAAAGCAGGCUCUGAAUGCCUGUAUACAUAUUCAUGGAAUUGGAGAAUACGUCCCUGGCUCGAUUUGGUUGGUUUUGAGAGUCGAAGGGAAAUGAUUAAUAGGGACUGACGGAGGCAUUCGUAUUGCGAUGCGAGGGGUGAAAUCCUGUGACCGUCGCACGACGAACUACUGCGAAAGCAUUUGCCGAGAAUGUUUUCAUUAG
rnacentral:rRNA from 1 species